rnacentral:misc_RNA from 1 species
GUGAUUACAUCGAGCGUGUCUUCAUUGACCGGCUCACCCCUUCUCACCAUCCACAUACACCUGUGCACUGUUUAGCCUGAGCCGGUUUUCCGGUCCAGGUGUAUCAUUUCAUACAAACUCUAGUCUUAAUGAAUGUAAACGUUUAAUAACAUAAUA